UAGGGAAUCUUCCACAAUGGACGCAAGUCUGAUGGAGCAACGCCGCGUGAGUGAAGAAGGUUUUCGGAUCGUAAAGCUCUGUUGUUGGUGAAGAAGGAUAGAGGCAGUAACUGGUCUUCAUUUGACGGUAAUCAACCAGAAAGUCACGGCUAACUACGUGCCAGCAGCCGCGGUAAUACGUAGGUGGCAAGCGUUGUCCGGAUUUAUUGGGCGUAAAGCGAGCGCAGGCGGAAUGAUAAGUCUGAUGUGAAAGCCCACGGCUCAACCGUGGAACUGCAUCGGAAACUGUCAUUCUUGAGUGCAGAAGAGGAGAGUGGAAUUCCAUGUGUAGCGGUGGAAUGCGUAGAUAUAUGGAAGAACACCAGUGGCGAAGGCGGCUCUCUGGUCUGCAACUGACGCUGAGGCUCGAAAGCAUGGGUAGCGAACAGG
rnacentral:rRNA from 1 species